rnacentral:rRNA from 1 species
UACGUAGGGGGCAAGCGUUGUCCGGAAUUAUUGGGCGUAAAGAGCGUGUAGGCGGUCCGGUAAGUCCGCUGUGAAAGUCCAGGGCUCAACCCUGGAAUGCCGGUGGAUACUGCCGGGCUAGAGUCCGGAAGAGGCGAGUGGAAUUCCUGGUGUAGCGGUGAAAUGCGCAGAUAUCAGGAGGAACACCGAUGGCGAAGGCAGCUCGCUGGGACGGUACUGACGCUGAGGAGCGAAAGCGUGGGGAGCGAACAGG